rnacentral:rRNA from 1 species
AUGGCAGAAAAUAUAGUAACACAACUCAUCCCGGAAGAGCAUAGAUUGAAAUGGAUUGCACAUAGCAAUCACAAUGUGAAAUGUUUUACAGAAGAUGAGAUAAGAAGAUUUACCAACAACUAUAAAACUAUACUUGGUAGAGGUGGCUUUGGAGAAGUUUAUGAAGGAGUCCUUGAGGACAAAAGUAUGGUUGCAGUCAAGAAGUUUAUCUACAAUGCAAAAGAAAAUUUUGCCAAAGAGUUGACCGUCCACCGUGAGAUCAAUCACAAGAAUGUUGUCAGAUUAGUCGGCUACACAAGAAUGUUGUCAGAUUAG